rnacentral:lncRNA from 1 species
GAUUAAGCCAACUGACGGUAGCACUCAGCUGUGUCCCAACUUGAGCACCCCUUUUCUUUACCUUCCUCCAACUUCUUCUCACUUCUUCUUAACCUCUUCUCUUUUCUUUCUUUUCCUACUCUGUUGUUUUGGAUUAUUUGUCUAUUUUGUUUUGUUUCGCUUUGCUUCUUCCUUUUACUCAUUUCUCUUAGGAAUGACAGGUCCCUCUAUGGCCACCAAAGGUUUAAAUUCAACCCUACAAUGGCCAUCACAGCAAAAAUAUUUCAACAGUAUUUUAUAUUUCAUAUGUGGGAAUGGAAAAAGCGAAGUAGGCAGCUCGUUCAUAGCAAUGGAAGGGAUAAAGACGCUGUCAUUAUCGGCACAAACUGACAUCUGGUUUCCCAGUCUCCUCUCUAUGGCUCUCUUGAGCCCAAUGUUUCCAAAGGACAUUAAGUUUGAUUUCUCUGAUGAAGGCUUGUGGCUGCCCCUCAUGCUGUACAAAAUACUACCAAGUCAGAGUCGAAAAGCAAACCGUCCAGUUUCUCCCUCUGAUCUCAGUUUCUGUUGAUGACAUCAUGCAUGCUUCCUGUCACCCAGUCUGGAAACCUCGAGUCAUCUUUUGUUGGCUGCACUUACCUCAGUGGCUGCAAUAGCUUUUACAUCUAAGUUUCCCCCUUC